UCACUAGAAUGUUGGCGAUAUUAUUGUCAGUAUCUGAGCGAAAGCAUAGUGAUCACUGGGGAGUACGUCGCAGAUUGAAACUCAAAGAAUGACGGGGCCGCACAAGCGGUGGAGCAUGUGUUAAUUCGAUGGUACGCGAGGAACCUUACCUAGGCUCAAAUGUAGAUUGACGUAUUGGGAAAACCAGUAUUCUUCGGACAAUUUACAAGGUGCUGCAUGGUUGUCGUCAGCUCGUGCCGUGAGGUGUCGGGUUAAGUCCCAUAACGAGCGCAACCCUUAUCAUUAGUUGCUAACAUUUAGUUGAGGACUCUAAUGAAACUGCCCGCGUAAGCGUGGAGGAAGGUGGGGAUGACGUCAAAUCAUCACGGCCCUUACGUCUAGGGCUACACACGUGCUACAAUGGUGAAUACAGAGGGAUGCCAACUGGUAACAGUGAGCAAAUCCAUAAAAUUCAUCUCAGUUCGGAUUGAGGUCUGCAACUCGACCUCAUGAAGCUGGAAUCGCUAGUAAUCGAAUAUCAGCCAUGAUUCGGUGAAUACGUUCCCGGGCCUUGUACACACCGCCCGUCAAGCCAUGGAAGUUGGGAGUACCUGAAGUCGGUAACCGAAAGGAGCUGCCUAAGGUAAAAUCAGUAACUGGGGCUAAGUCGUAACAAGGUAA
rnacentral:rRNA from 1 species